GGUUGUCGCUGGCCUCUCGGGGCACGUGCACGCCCGAGCCGAUUGAAUUCCAAACACACCUGUGAACCCACCGUAGGCCUUCGGGCCUAUGUCUUAUCAUAUAAUCCGAAUGUCUAAUAGAAUGUAAACCCAUUUCGUUGCCUUGAAAACGUAACGAAAGAAAACUAUACAACUUUCAACAACGGAUCUCUUGGCUCUCGCAUCGAUGAAGAACGCAGCGAAAUGCGAUAAGUAAUGUGAAUUGCAGAUUUUCAGUGAAUCAUCGAAUCUUUGAACGCACCUUGCGCCCCUUGGUAUUCCGAGGGGCAUGCCUGUUUGAGUGUCAUUAAAUCCUCAACCCCCCCGAUUCGUUUCGGCGGGGAUUGGACUUGGAGCGUGCUGGCGAAGGUCGGCUCCUCUUUAAAUGCAUCAGCGGAGAAAAUGCCUUUUGCGCCUCUGGCCGUCCAGCGUGAUAAUGACGUUGCGCUGCGGUCGAGCUUAAGGUCCGCUUCCAAAGGUCCUUUGGACGAUACGUAAUGACUUUUGACCUCAAAUCAGGUAGGACUACCCGCUGAACUUAAGCAUAUCAAUAAGCGGAGGAAAAGAAACUAACAAGGAUUCCCCUAGUAACUGCGAGUGAAGCGGGAAAAGCUCAAAUUUAAAAUCUGGCGGCCUCCGGCCGUCCGAGUUGUAAUCUGGAGAAGCGUUUUCCGCGUCGGACCGUG
rnacentral:rRNA from 1 species